GACGAACGCUGGCGGCGUGCCUAAUACAUGCAAGUAGAACGCUGAAGAGAGGAGCUUGCUCUUCUUGGAUGAGUUGCGAACGGGUGAGUAACGCGUAGGUAACCUGCCUUGUAGCGGGGGAUAACUAUUGGAAACGAUAGCUAAUACCGCAUAACAAUAGGUGACACAUGUCAUUUAUUUGAAAGGGGCAAUUGCUCCACUACAAGAUGGACCUGCGUUGUAUUAGCUAGUAGGUGAGGUAACGGCUCACCUAGGCGACGAUACAUAGCCGACCUGAGAGGGUGAUCGGCCACACUGGGACUGAGACACGGCCCAGACUCCUACGGGAGGCAGCAGUAGGGAAUCUUCGGCAAUGGGGGCAACCCUGACCGAGCAACGCCGCGUGAGUGAAGAAGGUUUUCGGAUCGUAAAGCUCUGUUGUAAGUCAAGAACGAGUGUGAGAGUGGAAAGUUCACACUGUGACGGUAGCUUACCAGAAAGGAACGGCUAACUACGUGCCAGCAGCCGCGGUAAUACGUAGGUCCCGAGCGUUGUCCGGAUUUAUUGGGCGUAAAGCGAGCGCAGGCGGUUUGGUAAGUCUGAAGUUAAAGGCUGUGGCUCAACCAUAGUUCGCUUUGGAAACUGUCAAACUUGAGUGCAGAAGGGGAGAGUGGAAUUCCAUGUGUAGCGGUGAAAUGCGUAGAUAUAUGGAGGAACACCGGUGGCGAAAGCGGCUCUCUGGUCUGUAACUGACGCUGAGGCUCGAAAGCGUGGGGAGCGAACAGG
rnacentral:rRNA from 1 species